GGAUCAUUAACGCGCAGGCCGGAGGCCGGCCCCCCAGGAUAGGGCCAAACGUCCGUCAGGGGUGAGCAGAUGUGCGCCGGCCGUACCGCCCCAUUCUUGUCUACCUUACUCGGUUGCCUCGGCGGGCCGCGCUCUCCCAGGAGAGCCGUUCGGCGAGCCUCUCUUUAUAGCGGCUCAACGCUGGACCGCGCCCGCCGGAGGACAGACGCAAAAAAAAAUUCUUUCAGAAGAGCUGUCAGUCUGAGCGUUAGCAAGCAAAAAUCAGUUAAAACUUUCAACAACGGAUCUCUUGGUUCCGGCAUCGAUGAAGAACGCAGCGAAAUGCGAUAAGUAAUGUGAAUUGCAGAAUUCCGUGAAUCAUCGAAUCUUUGAACGCACAUUGCGCCCCCUGGCAUUCCGGGGGGCAUGCCUGUUCGAGCGUCAUUUCAGCCCCUCAAGCCCGGCUUGUGUGAUGGACGACCGUCCGGCGCCCCCGUCUCUGGGGGUGCGGGACGCGCCCGAAAAGCAGUGGCCAGGCCGCGAUUCCGGCUUUCUAGGCGAAUGGGCAACAAACCAGCGCCUCCAGGACCGGCCGCCCUGGCCUCAAAAUCUGUUUUAUACUUAUCAGGUUGACCUCGGAUCAGGUAGGGAUACCCGCUGAACUUAAGCAUAUCAAUAAGCGGAGGAAAAGAAACCAACAGGGAUUGCCCCAGUAACGGCGAGUGAAGCGGCAAGAGCUCAAAUUUGAAAUCUGGCCUCCCCCGGGGGCCCGAGUUGUAAUUUGCAGAGGAUGUUUCGGGUGCGGCCGCCGUCUAAGUUCCUUGGAACAGGACGUCAGAGAGGGUGAGAAUCCCGUCUUGGGCGGGCGGUCCGCGCCCGUGUGAAGCUCCUUCGACGAGUCGAGUUGUUUGGGAAUGCAGCUCUAAGCGGGUGGUAAAUUUCAUCUAAAGCUAAAUAUUGGCCGGAGACCGAUAGCGCACAAGUAGAGUGAUCGAAAGGUUAAAAGCACCUUGAAAAGGGAGUUAAACAGCACGUGAAAUUUGU
rnacentral:misc_RNA from 1 species